ACCAGCAGCCAUAUCACCCUGCAACUCACAACUGGCAACCCACUGAAGCUAAGCAGGUGUGAGACUGGUCAGUACCUGGAUGGGAGACCUCCUGGGAAAAACUAAGGUUGCUACUGGAA
ensembl:rRNA 5S_rRNA 5S ribosomal RNA